CGCGGUGUGGAGCAGAGGUAGCUCGCGAGGCUCAUUCCCUCGAAGUCGUCGGUUCGAAUCCGACCACCGCAA
rnacentral:tRNA from 1 species